UGGCACUUUAAUAUUACUAUGUUAUUAUUUAAACCAUGAAGAUUAAGGAUAAAUUAUUAAUCUUCAGAUAUCUCACCGGCAUUAGAUUAAGCCAACGGAAGCUGCCUUAACAAAUGUUUGCGCUGUUUACAUCUUCUAAUACAUAUUCCUAUCUCUGAGAUUAAGAAAAACGCAACCAUGUUAACUCAAACGAAACUAAACGGCACGCAAUCCUCGAGAACAUUUAUUUAUUUACCGGCCCGUUUAUGAACUUUGAAAGUUUUAAUGACAAUGAAUGUAACUUAGAGCACGGGAGCGUGUGGGCCACAAGCCAGCUGCGCGUUGCGGAGUGCCACCGGCGACACAGGCCUACUACAUCACCCCCUCUCACCCUCCCCCACACGCCUCACUACCCCUCCCUACACCUCAGAUUUGCUUACCCCUCGUUCCGGGUCUAACAAGGUCUGCGAGACCUAAUAAUAACCAGGAAGGGAUGGUUUUUCGAAGCUCCUCCAUGUCAAGUAUCAGAGGUUGAGGGCAAAUGGAUUUUCAAGUGUUAUUUUACGGCAGUGUUUAGGACAACGAUAAUAUAAUGUAUAAAGUAAAUUGACACAUAGUUCAGAGAAAAUGGAUACCUUUAAGUAUUAACGGCCACUUUUGUGGGACAUAAAAGUUGCUAAUAGGUUUUUGCUAAAA